rnacentral:lncRNA from 1 species
AUAUUAUAGAGCCCACUGGGUAUAGGUAACUGAAAAUGCUAAGUGCCUGGAGUUGCGUGGAUCUGCAGUUAUAGCAACUUAAGGUACAGCAACCCUGGUCAACUCAAAAUAGUACCUUCAACAUCCUCAGCUACUGAAAUUGGGCCUUUCAUCAUCUUGUUGUGGUCAGGUUGCUAAAUUGGUUGUUUUUUGAAGCUGCAAUACAUGUAACUUUAGAACAAGAAUUUGAAAAGAAGAUCUUGCAUUUGCUGGACACCCUAACACUGAGGCAUGCAUUAACUAGGGUUCCUGCGAUGUGCUCGGUUAUCUCAGGGUAUGC